rnacentral:rRNA from 1 species
CACCGCCCGUCACACCAUGGGAGUUCGGCUCUACCCGAAGACGGUGUGCUAACCUCGCAAGAGGAGGCAGCCGGCCACGGUACGGGUCAGCGACGUGGGGUG